rnacentral:siRNA from 1 species
GCGAUCUGUUUAGCCAAGGAUCA